AACUGAAUCACACCACUGUGUCCUACUACUGAGAAUCAUCAUCAUAUCUGACAAUGAUCACACAGGGAAUUUGGAUUCUUCUGUGAAGAAACAUGAUUGUGUGACAUUGACAGUGAAAUAGGCCUAGCUUGCUUUGUUUUUAUCAAU